rnacentral:tRNA from 1 species
GGCCCUGUAGUCUAGAGGUACGAUUCCUGCUUUGGGUGCAGGCGGCCGGGGUUCGAAUCCCCGCAGAGCCC